UCCUCUCUCUUUCUUCGUGCUUAACACAUGCAAGUCGAACGGAAAGGCCCUGCUUUUGUGGGGUGCUCGAGUGGCGAAAGGGUGAGUAACACGUGAGUAACCUGCCCUUGACUUUGGGAUAACUUCAGGAAACUGGGGCUAAUACCGGAUAGGGGCUCCUGCUGCAUGGUGGGGGUUGGAAAGUUUCGGCGGUUGGGGAUGGACUCGCGGCUUAUCAGCUUGUUGGUGGGGUAGUGGCUUACCAAGGCUUUGACGGGUAGCCGGCCUGAGAGGGUGACCGGCCACAUUGGGACAGAGAUACGGCCCAGACUCCUACGGGAGGCAGCAGUGGGGAAUAUUGCACAAUGGGCGGAAGCCUGAUGCAGCAACGCCGCGUGCGGGAUGACGGCCGUCGGGUUGUAAACCGCUUUCGCCUGUGACGAAGCGUGAGUGACGGUAAUGGGUAAAGAAGCACCGGCUAACUACGUG
rnacentral:rRNA from 1 species